UGCGGACUCCUGCGCAGGGGUGCCAUCGCACUCCUGUUGGUUGGGAUCUUCAUUCACCAUGACCACAGCCUCUCCUGGAAGCC